rnacentral:lncRNA from 1 species
CUCGUUAAUAAUAGCAAUAUCGAAGGACUAAAUAAGGGGUUUUAUUUGAGGGUAAAAUUGGAUUUUAAAAAUUUUCUCUCUCGUCCUUUAUCUAUUUUUAACGGAAAAGAGGACAGAAAAACUAUUUCAUUGACGGAAAGAAAAGAUAAGAACAUUUUAAUAAGUUUUUAAAAAUGCAGAGACUGACUUGUUAAUAAUGACAAUAUUCAAUAAUUAAAUUACAAAUC